rnacentral:ribozyme from 1 species
AUCUGUGUACUCGCUCUUUGGACCAUUUUAGCUUUUCAUCUCCUUUUUCCUUUUUUUUAUGAAGCAAAAUGCAAGAAAGUGUGUUUGAGCUGGCUGCUUUUGGUGUGGAGAGGAAAAAAGAAAGUGCCACAAUGCAUU